UUACGCGAGGCUUGAACUGUUCAACAUGGCGGCAAAAGGGCAGCGAGCACGGCCGGGGGAGGCCGUGCUGUGAGGGAGCGUGCACCAGAGGGAGCGCCCAAACGGUCUGGAACCGGCUUUCACGGCCUCUGCCACCGGCAGGCACGUGGGGGAACGGCCCUUCCCCAGCAGGAAGAGAGGUGCACCAGGCCUUUGUGGGUCCCUCCUCUCCUGACUGUGCUGCAGUUCUGCUCUGGUGAAGAACUUGCCUCUGGCCUCUGUGACCACAGCUAGGAUCAGCACCCCGCCGCAACCGAGCCUCACAGUCUUGCUGCAUCCUUGUGAGCUACCGCUGCCUCUCUUUUCUCAAAGAGAUGGAUUCUGUUACACCUGGGACGGGUACUACCUGUUGUUCAUCUCUGGGGAGGAAUAAUGAAAUGCUCCUCAGAUCUGACCACUGGAGGGGAUUAAAGCUGAGGCCAGCAUCCACAGGGGUCCCCAAUGGUCCUUAGUAGGCUGGCUUUCUCCCCUGGCUGCCAUCCAGCUACCAGAUUAGGAAAUCAUGCACAUCUGCAGCCACAGUCACUUCUGCUCAAGAGAGGGAACUGGAUGCGCCAAAAAGCCUUGCUUUGCAGCAGGCAUUUCACUGCGUCUCUUUCAUGACUGACCCAACUUAAAUUUCAUCCUGUAGAGGC